GUUUUUGUUACAAAAUAAAUUAAUCGAUCCAAAUCACACAAUAUAGUUUUUAAAUAUUCGUUUUAUUUUUUAUUAUAACAAAAGCACAUUAUUAUACUUGCGAGAUUCGACGUUUACCGAUGAAAGGUUAACUUAACCUAAAAAGUGAAGUUAACCUACCCAAGUGAAACUCUCUAGUAUUUUUCAGGACUGGUAACUUGAGAGUAAGCCAGUGUCUCCCUCUUUCGUUCGUUUCAUGCUAACACGGAAUUCCUGUAUCCACGGUCUGUUAAAUUAAAUUCUUAAAUUUUUAAUUUGUGCAAAGUAUAAUUGAAAAAAAGUUGAAAGAAAACGAGGAAAUCAGUAGCUUAACGCAAGAACGAAUCUUCUUCCGAAAUGGUAGUGGAAAGACUUAGCCAGGAGGCUAGACGUUGAGCAACGGAAUACGAGCGGAAUAUAUCUCUACGGGCUAUCUAACCGCUAGUUAAAAUUAUCGGCACGCGGAUCGACUGGUCCUUCGGGCAAAGUGCAUAUUGUGCGCGGAUCUAUGAACGCGAACACGUCGAAGGGAAUUAUUGCACGCUCGAAUUAUGGUUACUAUGCGGCUGAAGAAUUUCUUUGCUGGGGAUGCAUACCGGCAGAUCCUGCAUCUAUUAAACGCUUGAGCCAGGACAUUGACAUCGACGUUCAUAAUUAACUCUUUAACCAUAACAAAUUGAAUUGAAUGCAGAUCGACAAGUGAGAAAAUAAAUAUAUAAUUAGAGAAAGUGAUAUAAAUUGCACGUUAAAGGAAUGCAAAUAAUCGCAGUGUAGAGAAAAAUUCAUUUUUUAUAAUUUUUAUGAAGAGAAAACUUCCAUUUGAAAGAAGAUAGAAAGAUUUUUUUCUUUCUGGAUUCGAGUAGACCUUAUACUUGCCAGAUAAUGAUUAAUAAGUAAAAAAAUUGGAAAUUUUAAUUUAUGUGUAGAAAAUAAAUAGUAUUAUAGGGUAAAUAUGGUAGCAAUGAUAAAAAUUUCCAAUAAGAAGAACGCAUAUAUGGGCAAGAAGCAAUCAAAGGUUGAUAGGCAUCCGAUUGCAUUCAAGAGACUCGAAGAAAGAAAUUGGAAAGAGGCGGCGAUUAAUCGAACGUACGUGCACAGCUUUGAAUCAAGUUUAACAGAGGCAAAAACCGCAAUAAAACCAAACUGGGCGAUUCUGUUACGUGAUUAACGUCGAUCAGGUGGAAUACCAGACGAAAAGGAGACAGAUUCGCAACUAAUCUUAACAAGUGACACAAAGUUUUUAGUUGAAUCAUCGAGCACCCGUAUUAAUGUAAUACCAGUAAUUCGAUUUCAAAUCGCCGUUAAAAUUAAAGAAGAAAUUAAUUUCUAUCAGCAAGUUUUAUACGACAUGGAAAGUUUUUAAGUAGAUUAGUCGAUAAGUAAGUUAUUUCUCUCUAUUAACUUUCGUUCUGAAAAAGAUAUUUAAGUAAUUAUGCCGCUAGAUGGCUACAUUGUCGCCGCUGUACAGUAAAUAUCAUUUCAAUUGCAUCAAGGAAUCGCAUAUAGUUUGUUAAACACGAAACAUCGUGUAAUAGAGAUAUGUCGAAAUGGAAUGCAUAUAUUUCAGAUUUUUGAGGAGAAAAAAUUAUUUCCAGCGUAUUUUUAUCAUUCAGAUAUAUCACGUUUUCACAAAUGAAGAAAUAUAUUAUUGGAAAUUAUUUUAACAUGGAUGACGAAGUGAGGUAUGCAUCUUGUUUAAAAUGUUGAGUAAUCGAAUGGAAAUUCUUUCAAGACGUAAUGUAUAAAUUAGAUCCACGUUCCGAUAAAUUUUUGCAGAUGAUGAAGUAUUAGUUGAGAAAUAGUAUUUGAAUGUUAAUAAAUUUCUAUUAGUUACAUUAGCUA